UAGAAGUCAUGUACGUAUUUUUCAUUUAACAUAUUGACAUGAUUGAUAUUGUCAAGAUGCAAAGUGACAUACACGCAUAUAAUUUUAAGUAAUACACUAGCAACGUCACGGGCAAACAAAGACAUGAAACAUACAGACUAACAAAUGACCUCAAAUUGUGGUGACCUGAGGUUCUCCAGAAGGGUAAUCAGAAAAUGCGUCACGUGACACCUGUGGUGUUGCACCUGGAAGUACAAACCGGUGAUAAGUUUAAUGGAGUAGGUCACAUUCGAUUAACGAUUAAACAACAAUAUAAGAACACAAGAAAAUCAGAAUACAAACAAUAUGCAAACCUCACAAUGAUGGUCACUGCUUUUUUGAAAUGCAUCUUCGUUAUGUUUAACAAAGUACACAAUAGUCGUAUGUUUUAUGGUUUAACAAAUAAAGGGAUCUGCCGUAAUUCUUUUAAAAUCAAAUGUCAAAAUACAUGUUAGAAAAUCACUAUGAGUAAACAAGCACUAAAAAUAUGACACGACAACAUUUCACAAAAAACAAAUAAAAAUGAACGAAAGACAAACAUAUAUUUAUGCGAUAGUUUCUGUGGUGUCGAAUUUGGCCAAGUCUGUGUUUUUGGUCGAUGAUUAUCUCUUUAAAUCUAUAUGCUGAGUUAAGCUAACGUGUUUUUAUAGAUUGCUCUUCUGUAGACAAUGCAUUCAACGCACAGUUAGAUCUCGUCUGACUGGAAAUGACAAAUUCAUAUUCAUCUAUGGCCAACUUGCCUGAAGGAGUUGAAACCUUACUUUCUUAAAUUAUUAGAUUACUUAAAGAACAUUUGAUUUUUAUACGCCCGUCAUAAUUUUGACGGGACGUAUUAUGGUAUACAAAUAUCCGGUGCCCGUCCGUCUGUCCGUCUGUCCGUGUAUCCGUCUGUCCGUCUGUCCGGCGUAAACAUGUCGCACCGUAACUUGAGAACGACUUAUCCAAAUAUCAUGAAACUUAAUAUAGUUGUUUCUUAUGAUGAUCAAAUGAUCUGUAUACUUUUUGGUGAAAAUAAAAUUAAAACUUUUUGAGUUACGGCGCUUUGUAACUAAAACAGGGGGGUGUUUUUUCACAUGUCGCACUGUAUCUCAAAAACGAUUUUAGCUUAAAACUUUACACACUUCUUAGAUAUAUUAAUCUUAAGAUCUGUAUACUUUUCUUGUGAUGAUUCAAAAUUUGAUUUUUGAGUUAUUGAGUAUUUUGUAAAAAGGGGGAGGUUUUUUUACAUGUCGCGCCGUAUCUCCAAAAUGACUUAUGGUUAUUGCUUUACACUUUACACACUUUUUUGUUAUAUCAAUCUAAAGAUCUGUAUACUUUUUGGUGAUGAUUCAAAAUUUUAUUUUUUGAGUUAUUGAGUAUUUUGUAAAAAAGGGGAGGUUUUUUUUACAUGUCGCGCCGUAUCUCCAAAAUGACUUAUGGUUAUUGCUUUACACUUUACACACUUUUUUGUUAUAUCAAUCUAAAGAUCUGUAUACUUUUUGGUGAUGAUUCAAAAUUUUUAUUUUUGAGUUAUUGAGUAUUUUGUAAAAAAGGGGAGGUUUUUUUUACAUGUCGCGCCGCACCUCAAAAACAAUAUAUGAUUAUUGCUUUAAACUUUACACACUUCUUUGAUAUAUUAAUCUUAAGAUCUGUAUACUUUUUGGUUUUGAUUCAAAAUUUGAUUUUAGUGAUAUUUAGUUUUUUGAAAAAAAGGGGGGCUUUCACAUGUCUCGCCGUAUCUGAAAAACAAUAUAUGGUUAUUGCUAAAAACUUUCUCGGAAACUAUUUAUGAUUAUUGCAUUAAACUUCCACACCACACGUCGGGCGUAUCAUGUGCUCAUGGCGCAGCUGUUUAUUUAUAAAUCAUGUCAGUACAGAAGGACUGACUAAUGGAGUGUUAGUUCAUCAGAGAUAUCGGCCCAAUUCGUUCUUUACGAAAUUGGGAAUAUAACACGCGAUCAAUUUCAUGCGUCUGUAGCGCUUUUAUGGAUUUUCCAUGUUAACUAAUACCAUUUGUGACCAAUGUGUUUAGAGCGUUACAAUAAUAGCAAUUGAAUCACUAGUUCAUAGCCUCGUUGUUUUGUUAUGUUAAGUAGAUUAUUCAAAUUAGUGAUGUUUCAAAACUAAUGAGUAUUUGACAAAUUUGAAAAACAAUUGACUGUGAAAUUGAAAUAUGCAUGACAAGAAUUUAAGGUAAUAUGAUACUGAGGAAUUUCUUGUAGUGAUUUUUUUUCUCUUAGGGGGGUUCGCGGGUCUAAAUCAUUUAUAUAGGAUUUCUCUAUAUUUUUCUAUAAAUGAACUUUAUCUUAUGGUUACUAGAAAAAUAAAAUAAAAAAGUGGGGUCACCGUUCAUUUGCGCUCACAAUCUGCCUUCGAAAGAAGCAUACAUUUUUGUAAAGGUGGUUUUUUUCUGUUGAAGUAAUAGGAGAAAUAAAGGUAAUAUCGAAAAAAAAGAAAGAAAUUUAUUACAGAAAUUGCUCAAAUUUUACAAUAAUUUAGUUUAAGUACAGCUUAUAUGGAAAUUAUAUUAAAAAACAUAGGUCACCGAAGAGUUAAAAAAGAUAUUUCAAUUUCAAAGCCAAAAAAUGGCAUUUUUUCACCAAAGGGAGAUAAUUUGGAACUUUUUCAAUGAUGUAUACAUUUUAAAAGUCAUCUAGGGCCAACACGAAUUGUUUGUUUUUAAUGAUGUUUGUACCAUAUGAUAAGUAACAACUACAAAAGGUGACAAAUAAAAUUUGAAAUGAAAAAACAAAUGUUUAUUUUUUUUCUAAAAUUUUUAUACCCUCGAGCCUUCUUAAACUAAACAAUUCGAGGUGUAUUGCUCUUUUACUGACUUUUAAAAUAGAUCGCAUAUAUCACGUGCAUUUAUCGUAUGUUAUUUCAUUUACGGUUUGAAGUUUGUUUUAUCUGUAGGUUUUCAUAUAACUUUUAACGAUAUAUGUAUAAUUUCGUUUCAGUAAUGCUUCAUGUUUUUUGUUUGAUACAUUUCUACCAUAUUAUUGAUACAAAUCCUGAUAAAAAACACAAUCGUUAUUACAUCAUGAUAGGUUUUGUUUUUGUUUCAGAUAUCUUCAAGACAAUAAUUUGUCAACAAUUAAGGCAAAUGUGUUCAGAGAUCUUUCCCUAGUUGCUCUGUAAGUUUUUUUUUUAUAUAAAUUACAGGUUGGUUGGUUUUAUUUCCGUUCAAUCGGUUUUCAUCUUUUCUCCUAUGUUUAUUGUUCAUUUUUGAAAGCUUGAAUAAACUUUUUGUUUAGUUCACCUGACCUGAAAGGGUUAUUGCCAUUUAUAGUAAAUGUUUAACAAUUUUUCAUUAACUUUUGCAAUCUUUUACAAAAAGCUUCUCCUCUAAAACUUCUAAGCCAAAUUUAACCACACUUGGCCAUAAUCAUUACUUGGGUAUUUAGUUUGAAAACAAUUGUGUCUGCUGACCCCGCCGGCCAACCAACAUGGCCGAUAUGGCUUAUAAUAAAACAAAGGUUGAAUGGAGUGGGGGUUAAAAUGCAGUUUUUCUUAUUAUCUUGAAUAUUAUUAUAGAAAGAGAUAAACUGAUUUAAAAAAAAAAUCUUCUUCUCGAAAACUACUGAGACAAAUUUUACGAAACUUGGCCAUGAUCAUUAUUAGGGUAUCUAGUUGUGUCCGAUUACCCUGCUUUACAACCACAAUGGCAGUUAUGACUAAAAAUAGAACAUAGCGGUAAAAUGCGGUCUUUGGUUUAUAUCUCUGAAACUUAAGCAUUUAGAGCAAAUCUGCCAAGUGUCAAAAAUGUUCAAUAAAUUUAGAUUUAUCUGCCCUGAACUUGUCAGACAAGUCCUACAAACCGGUGUUGGGUUUCUUUACUUGAGUUUGUAAUUUUACGGAAAUUUUGCAGUUUUUGUUAUUAUCUUAGUUUAAUAUUAUUAAAGUAUCUACUCAUAUCUUAUAUCUAAUACUAAUAAUUAUGAUUUAACCUUAUUUAACAUGAUUUCCAAAGCAUUAGUAAAUACAGUUGAGCGACACAGGCUCAUGAGCGCCUCUAGUUUUAGCUCACCGUCGUCCGUCGUCUUUAAUUUUUACACAAAUCUUCUCCUCUGAAACUAAUGAGCCAAAUUUAACCAAACUUAGCCACAACCAUUAUUUGGGUAUGUAGUUUAAUAAUGUGUCCGGUGACGCGGCCAACCGAUCAAGAGGGCCGCCAUGGCUUAAAAUAGAACAUAGGGGUUAAACGUAGAUUUUGGUUAUAUCUCUGAAACCAAAGCAUUUAUAGCAAAGUGACUGAAGUAAAAUUGUUGAUCAGGUCAGGAUCUAUCAGCUUGAAAUUUUCAGAUGAAUAAGACAAACCGUUGUUAUGUUGCUGCCCCUGAAUUGAUAAUUUUAGGGAAAUUUUGCCGUUUUUGUUUAUUAUCUUGAAUAUUAUAAAGAUAAACUAUAAUCAGUAAAAGUGUUCAGCAAAGUACGAUCUACAAAAAAAAUCACAUGAUCAAAAUGACCAGUUUUUUAAGGAGUUAUUGCCCUUUAUAGUCAAUGAUUAACAAAUUUUCGUAUAUUUUGUUAUCUUUUACAUAAAUCUUCUCCUCUGAAACUACAAAGACAAAUUUAAAAAAACGUGCGCACAAUCAAUAUCAGUGUAUACACUUUCAUAAAUGUGUCCGAAGACCCAGCUAGCGAAACAAAAUGGACGACAUGGCUAAAAAAAGUUCAUAGGGUAAAAUGCAGUUUUUGGCUCAUAUCUCUGAAACAAAAGCAUUUAAAGCAAAUCUGACCGGGAUAAAAUUGUUCAGUAAAGUUAGAACUACAAACACAUCACCAUCACCAAAACACAGUUUUUCCAUGAAUCCAUCUGUUACCUUCGUUUAAUAUUCACAUAGACUUAGGAGAGCAACAUAAGCUCCUUAAGUUAUAAAAAUAAAACCGACAUUUUAUACCAUUUCUAUGUUCAAUUAUGAGUAAGAGCCAAUAAAAUCCUUUCAAUUAAAAGCUAUUGAUGAACACACGAGUUUAACCAUGGGUUUAAGUACAAUUGGUUGUGUUCACUUCUCUGUUUAUCGCUUCACAGAUUUGUAUAGAUUUUGUUUUGGUUCAGAUGUUUUUUGUAUGAUAACUAUUGGAUCUUUGUAUCUUUUUUGUUGUAAUAUAGUAAAUAAAUAUCAUUUUGAAUUAUCAUAAAGUCAGACACAUUAUAUAUUUUAAUAAGUAUUUUUUCACAGUUUUCUUAAUGGGAACCCUAUAACAGUUAUAGAAACACAUGCAUUUGUCAAUCUUCCACGUAUACAAGUCAUGUAAGUACUUAUUAUAUUUUAAGACAGACAGACAAAAAAAUCAAAGUACAAUUUACGAAGCCCUGGGUCUUUUCUUAGUACGAAGUUUUACAUCUGACUAUUUCUGUAAGGGAUCAUGUGCAACUGAUUCUCAUAUAAUACACUUGACAUUUUCCAAUCGAAAUUGUAUAAAGAUCAUAAAAGUUCCUUAAAGAAAGUACUUUAAUUGAAAUUUAAAUUGGUAAAUAAGAAUCAAAUGCAGAACUUUUUUUACUCUCAGAUUUUUUUUGUUGUGAUCUCAAAAAAAAAAGACGAGGGACGAAAGAUACCAAAGGGACAGUCAAACUCAUAAAUCUAAAACAAACUGACAACGCCAUGGCUAAAAAUGAAAAAGACAAACAAACAACAGCACACACGACACAACAUAGAAAACUAAAGAAUAAACAACACGAAUUGAUAACGAACUGAAGUAAUAAGAGACUUUAGAAACUAUUUCCGUAACUCCUUAUUCGGUAAAAAGAUAAGCUUUAGUCAUAAACGUUAAUAUACAGCUUUUUAGAAAUGUAAUGACUAGUGAAUAUCACCAUUCAAUAUUAACAGUAAAAAUUUAUAUCGAUAAUAGCACUAUAAAAAUCAAAGUACUUAAGAACUGAACAUCUGAUGUCCGCAAGUAAUUGUAGAUGGUCCGCCGAGCACUUGUCUCCAAAAAAGCACACCUCUAUACUUGAAAGUGAGGGUAAUGUACAAAUAUGAUUAUUUUUUUUUCUGAGACGAGUUCGUGCGGGGAUGAUAAAUUAAUGACAGGAAUUCAUCCCCACCGUAAUGACUUUUAUAUUGUACUGAUACAAAUCGGUAUACUCUGGUUUAAUGCCAUAUAUUAUAUUAAUACUUGUAUAUUACUGUUUUAUUCUAAACAUAUUGUUAUUCCAAUGCAAUACAUUUUAAAAGGUUUAUAUUGUAUGGUCGUAAAUAAAGUUGUAAAAAGAAAAAUACCUUUGAAAUAUAUGCCAGGUUUUAGUGAUUUUUCAUAUAAUUUUCUUUUCCUUAAUUGCGAUAAAAAUUAAAAGAUGUUAAUUUUAACCGAGUAAUUAUUUAUAACUUUUGACAUAUACUCUAAAAAAUCUGUCGAAAGAGAAAAAAAAACAAUUUUUAAUUACUAAGCAGUUUAGUUAAAUACAAUUUGGCAAAAUCUUUGGUUUGUGAUAGAUUUACAUCUAUCGACCAUAGCAUUUAGUAUAACAUUGGGAUAAACCAUCAAGUCCUUUAUAUAUAUAUAAUUUGAAUAAUUACAAAUUUUAAGUAAAAAGACAACAUUAAAACCCAUAACAUGAGUAGCGAACAAUGCAUGUAUACACUGAGUCAUAAAAUAAAAAAAAAAGCUACAAAAAACGUUUAGACAGGCAAUGCUGACCCAAAACAUGACAGUUGUAAUUAUAUAAAACAAAUAUCAUAAAAUGUUUAGACAGGCAAUGCUGACCCAAAACAUGACAGUUGUAGUUAUAUAAAACAAAUAUCAUAAAACGUUUAGACAGGCAAUGCUGAUCCAAAACAUAACAGUUGUAAUUAUAUAAAAUAAAUAUCAUAAAACGUUUAGAUAGGCAAUGCUGACCCAAAACAUGACUGUUGUAAUUAUAUUAAACAAAUAUCAUAAAACGUUUAGACAGGCAAUGCUGACCCAAAACAUGACAGUUGUAAUUAUAUAAAACAAAUAUCGUAAAACGUUAAGACAGGCAAUGCUGACCCAAAACAUGACAGUUGUAAUUAUAUAAAACAAAUAUCGUAAAACGGUUAGAUAGGCAAUGCUGACCCAAACAAUGACAGUGGUUAUUAUAUAAAAAAAAUAUCACAAAACGUUUAGACAGGCAAUGCUGACCCAAAACAUGACAGUUGUAAUUAUAUAAAACAAAUAUCGUAAAACGUUUAGACAGGCAAUGCUGACCCAAAACAUGACAGUUGUAAUUAUAUAAAACAAAUAUCAUAAAACGUUUUGGCAGGAAAUGCUGACCCGAAACAAGACCGUUGAAAUUAUAUGAAAUAGAGAUCAUUAUACGUUUUUGCAGGCAAUAUUGACCCAUAACAAGACAGUUGUAAUUAUAUGAAAUAAAGAUCAUAAAACGUUUUGUCAGGCAAUGCUGACCCAAAACAUGACAGUUGUAAUUAUAUAAAACAAAUAUCAUAAAACGUUUAUACAGGCAAUGCUGACCCAAAACAUAACAGUUGUAAUUAUAUAAAAUAAAUAUCAUAAAAAAUGCUGACCCAAACAUGACUUUAGCAGGGCAAUGCUGACCAAACAUAACAGUUGUAAUUAUUAAAAUAAAUAUCAUAAAACGAGGAUGCAAUGCUGACCCAAAACAUGUAAAUUAUAUUAAACAAAUAUCAUAAAAGUUAGACAGGCAAAUGCUGACCCAAAAAUGACUGUUGUAAUUAUAUUAAACAAAUAUCAUAAAACGUUUAGACAGGCAAUGCUGACCCAAAACAUGACAGUUGUAAAUAUAUAAAACAAAUAUCGUAAAACGUUUAGACAGGCAAUGCUGACCCAAAACAUGACAGUUGUAAUUAUAUAAAACAAAUAUUGUAAAACGUUUAGAUAGGCAAUGCUGACCCAAACAAUGACAGUUGUAAUUAUAUAAAACAAAUAUCAUAAAACGUUUAGACAGGCAAUGCGACCAAACAUGACAGUUUAAUAUAUAAAACAAAUAUCGUAAAACGUUUAGACAGGCAAUGCUGACCCAAAACAUGACAGUUGUAAUUAUAUAAAACAAAUAUCAUAAAACGUUUAGACAGGCAAUGGUGACCCUCAAACAAGACAGUUGUAAUUGUAUAAAAUAAAGAUCAUAAAACGUUUUGUCAGGCAAGAAUGACCCGAAACAGCUGACGUUCUGGUACUAACUUAAUUCUGUUUAUGCUGUCAAAUUCCAUAAACGCAUUAGACCCCAAUCCUUGACUAACGGAUAGGACAAUUCCAUCCGUGCACUGCAGUAGAAGUGAUUGCUCACAGGUUAACACAUCAAAUACUGAUGAUAAGAGAAGAGUGACCACAACACACUUACACGUAAACUCGUGAUCAUUGACAAAUAAGACAGAUGAAAUUCAAUCAUGAAUUAGUCAUAGGUGAAAUUUCUCUGCAUGUUAAAACAUGUUAUCUAAUUUCAACUAUUUAUCAUUUAAUAACGUAGGACACGCUGACCUUUUGACCAGACUAAAGACAGCAUAACUUUACAGUAUAAAUAGCUAACUCUUUAUUUAAGUCUUAAAUUAUUUAAAUCAGCUUGAUUUUCAAUUAGCAAAUAAAAUUGGAUGUACAUUUAUUGAUGUGGGAUUAACGUUGUUUCAACAUCAUUAUAAGAGAUCGUUAAAAUCAGGAGAACAAUAUACGAUCAUAAUGAUGAGCACCAGUUUACUAUAAAUUCCUGGAUUCUUUAGGGAUGAUAUACUUUAAUAAAUGUAACAGGAAAUUUACUGACAGUAAACAUAGUAUUACAAAUUUACAUUCGGGCAAAUGUAUGUAACAGAUUUGUAACCAGUUUAAAAAAAAAGAAAAAGGGAAAAGACGACUGAUGUCUAGUAUCAACAUGAGAUCUUUCCUAAACUACAUUUAAUGCAAUUGGUUUGAAAAAACUAAAUUUGGACAAGAUCGUAUAUGUUGAGUGGUUAUCUCAAAAGAAUAUAUAUCUAUAAUAAAUCAAAACCACCAUUUUAAAAUCAUGUUUAACAAAUGGGCAACAUAUAGGUGCCCAUUGCAAAAUUCUUUCUUUACAAAACUCAUUUACUCACAUAUAGAAUCUACAAAAGACUAAGCAACACGAAUCCAGCAUAAAAUCGGGUGUGAUAUCAUGUGCUCCGGAAGGGUGAGCAGAUCUUCCUCCACACGUGGAAUCCGUCGUGUUACUCAUUUAAAUACAGAUCAUGAUAUUUGUAAGUCUGACUCGGAAAGUAAUAUUCGAGUAAAAGAGGACAUGAUAGUGGUUGCAAUAAUUUGAUCAUAUUCGUCUUCAUCUAUUAAAGAGAUAAUCCUUAGCGGACAUUUCACUUUUUUUCGCGACUUUGUUAAAUAAAUGUAUAUGUUAGAUUGAAUGUUAUAGCCAGAUGUGUUGUAUGUAAGUAAUGUUCGUUUACAAUUGUUUUUAUACUAAAUCCAAAUUAUGGGCUCAAUAACCAAAUAUUUCGGUUUCGAUAGCCUAUCUUUUUUUCUCAAUAUAACUCACCUAUUUAUGCAUGUUAAAGCUUUACACACUGUUAUACAAGUCGGAGGUUGUGCUGGCUAUAAUACUAGGUUUUCUUUGGAAAACUCAUGUACUAAUUCAAAAAUAUGACAGUUGUUUUUCUGUUAUUUGUUGUGCCGUUGAUAGAAAACGUUUCAGUUCAUAUUCAGGUUUGUUUUUCAUCUUGGAGUAGAAUAUAUCUUAUUAGCUCUAUGAUAUUAAACCUACUGUUGCCUUAAUCAGGAAUUGAUAUCAUAAAAACAAUCAUUAAUCAUGCGGGUGUUGUCGUUUAAUACAUGUCAAUUAUUAUACCUGUAUCUAAGUAUUAUAUAUAUUUCUUGAUUUGUUGUCGCGUUUUACUAUGCGCUCCAUUUUGUUUGAUCUCAUUUAUUCUAACCUUAUGUUGCCAUCAUAUUGUUUUAGACGUGGUUUAGAUCCAUUUUUAAAAGAGAUUGAAACCGAAGCAUUUGUAAACGUAACACCGACGUUUUUGUAAGUAGAUUAUGGCUUAGAAUUUAAGAUUUAAAAUAUUAAUGAUUACUUUGAAAUGUAACUGAUUAUAAGUUAAAUUUAGAUUUAAGACUAAACCGUUGUACAUGUAUAAAACAAAAGAGAGUCGGGUUUUGUUUUGGAAUCUUUCAAAAAAAGUUGGCUUUAAAAAGAAUUCCAGAAAAAGUAUAAAAACACGUGUGUCUUUAAUAAUAAAUGUCAUCCUACUUCAACAGUUUUUAUUGAAUUCUGUAGCAGUGAUUUCAUUGUUUAGAAUGUCCGUUUUUAUUUUUACCUGUUACUUAAUCAAAUGAUAAUAGAUAUACGAAAUAAACAUUUUUAUAUAAUGUGGAAAUCCAGAAAGUCAUAUUCGAUUUUUCCUUUUGUAGAAUAAACAAUAAUGGGUAAACAGUUUAUGUUUACGUUUUGAAAAUACAUUAACCUAUUGAAACUAAAAUUUUCAAUUACAAACACGUUUUGCAGGAUCUCGAUAUUGACGACUUCAAGUCUAAACCUCCUGACUGCACUUGUGCUAGUUCCCAAUUCACAUAUAAUCCUGCUGGCCACGUUAUUACGGUGACCUAACAUUGUUAAUAACACUUCUCUACGAAAUGUGUUAUCGAAAGGUCCGAAAUAUCGUGAGCCUAAAUCCAUCAAUUGAAAUACAACUUAAAAAUUUUGAUGGAUUCAGUUGAGGAUUAUGCCAGGCAAUGGGCUAAGCGCGAGAAGGAAGACGUAGACACUCUUUCCGAAUGGAUUAAGGCAAUGAGGUCGUUGAUACAAAUCAGAAUUACGAAACUGAAUGGGUCUAUCAAUGCCCAUGCUACGUCAAUCUUUAAAGACCCAAAUAUUGCAAAACACCUAUCAUACCUCCAUGACAAAUAGGUUGUUGUCCUCGCCGAUAAAGCCCCAAACAACAUCGUUUUUGUAUGUAAAACUCAUUACAUUAACUGCUUUAUAAACGAUUUAGGUAUUGACUUUUCACUUGGAAACUCAACAUAUACCCUCACGACACUUACCAAAGUGGAAAUCCUAGAUAAUCAUAGGUCUGUUCUGUGUUCCUUUGGAAUUUCAACCAAAGAUGAAGAACUGGAUCUGCCAUCACUGUAUUGGAUACCUAAACUACAUAAGUGUCCUUACCAACAACGGUAUAUUGCUGGGUCUUCCAAGUGCUCCAUGAAACCUCUUUCUAAAUUAUUAACAUCUAUUUCAUCAGCAAUCAAAGACGGGCUUCAAAGUUAUUGUGAAACUGCCUAUUCUAGAGGGGGCGUGAAUCAGAUGUGGAUACUUAAAAAUUCCAAAGAUCUUUUAGAGUACAUACAAUCUAACUCUCUUUCAUCUUGUAAACAGCAUUAAAACAUUUGACUUUUUCUACUCUGUACACUAGUAUUCCACAUUCCAAACUAAAAGACAAAUUGAAAGAGUUGGUAUUGCUUUGCUUCGUAUAAAAGAAUGGCCAACGUAGAUACAAGUAUCUUGUCUUAGGGAGAGUAAGUCCUACUUUGUAAAGGAUCACUCUGAGUCGAACAAAAAAUUCUCUGAAACUGAUAUUAUCAAGAUGAUUGACAACAUAUUUGUUACGUUCGGAGGACGUGUUUUUCAACAGACUAUCGGCAUUCCAAUGGGAACAAACUGUGCCCCUCUACUUUCCGACUUGUUUCUUUAUUAAAAAGUAAAAAACACAAAAAUACUGAACUCCGAGGAAAAUUCAAAAAGGAAAAUCAAAAAUCAAAAGGCAAAAUCAAAAGUCCAAACACAUCAAACGAAUGGAUAACAUGAGGCUGACUUCAUGCAGGAACUUCUUAGGAAGAAAGAUAAGAAGUGAGCAAUAUCCUUUAACUCUACUUUUCGCUAUUUAGAUGAUGUUCUUUCACUAUAAAUAAUUCAAAAUUUGGUGACUAUGUGGAACGCAUCUAUCCAAUCGAGCUAGAGAUAAAGGAUACUACAGAUACAGUUAAGUCGGCCUCAUAUCUUGACUUACAUCUAGAAAUUGACAAUGAGGGUCGUUGAAAACAAAACUUUACGACAAAAGAGAUGAUUUCAGCUUUCCAAUUGUGAACUUUCCAUUUCUAAGUAGCAACAUUCCAGCAGCACCUGCAUACGGGGUAUAUAUCUCCCUAUUGAUACGAUAUUCCCGUGCUUGCAUUUCCUAUCAAAAUUUUCUUGAUAGAGGGUUGCUGCUAACAAGGAAGCUAUUAAACCAAGAGUUCCAAAUGGUGAAGUCGAAAUCAUUCCUUCGUAAAUUUUACGGACGCCAUCACGAGUUGGUUGACCGUUAUGGAAUAACCGUUUCACAUUUGAUAUCGGAUAUAUUCCUUACGUCGUAACUACAAUCCCCUCCCCCCUUUUUUGAAUGUGACCUACCGAAUUAGACUAUUUACCGGAUUUGUUAUCACAUAAGCAACACGACGGGUGCCGCAUGUGGAGCAGGAUCUGCUUACCCUUCCGGAGCACCUGAAAUCACCCCUAGUUUUUUGGUGGGGUUCGUGUUGUUUAUUCUUCAGUUUUUUAUGUUGUGUCGUGUGUGCUGUUGUUUGUUUGUCUUUUUCAUUUUUUGCCGUGGCGUUGUCAGUUUGUUUUAGAUUUAUGAGUUUGACUGUCCCUUUGGUAUCUUUCGUUCCUCUUUUUUUAAUUUGAAUGAAUAUUUUUACACCCUAACGAACCUAAUUAAAUGCUUCAUUGUUUUGAACAUUUAUUAUAAAAACAUAAAGAUAUCUACCAAUGUUAUUUUAUAAUUAACCUUAACACUAUAUCUUUAUUAUCAUUGACAGUGUCAUAGUUAUAAAUCAACUGUUUAUGAAACCUUGAUAUUUCGAAAUACUAAGGGGUUGUUAUAUAUAACACAAGAAAUAGAUAAGAUCAGCUGCAUUCGAAAAAAAAAACCAUUUAAAAAUUUUGAUACUCAAUGCAGCACCCUCACCAUAACAUUGAAUAACAAAUCGGAGGACUUACUUUGUUUCUAUUUUAUACCUAAGGUAGCACUGCACAGUUGGGUGUGAAGUUUCGCAUUCUGGCCCCUGUGGAUUUUUCAAAUAUGAGAGCUAGUGUCCAAUAAAAUUCAUUAUUUUAAAUAAAUGCAGAAUGUUGCCAUGGAUACACUUAAAAGGAAUUGUAUUUCAUCAUUUUAAGUUUUGAAAAUCAAAUCAAUGGAAGAUACUGCUUAAAUAAUAUGCACAUGUACAACAAAAACAGUUAGGUUAAUGUAUUAUAAAGACAGGAAUAGAAGAUGAUAAAAUAUAUAUUAUGGUUCAAUUUUGAUUUUAUUCUGUAACUGUGGAGUGCUACAUAAGCUCCACAAAAAGUAUGUACACAUAACGGUACAUUGUCUGCUCAUCUGCAUGCUCCACUAAAAAUGUCAAUUAGAUUGACUAAAAUUAUGUCCGCAUUGAAAGAGGGUUGUGAAACUGUUUACUCGCGUAGUGGUACUAAUUAUAUGUAGAUUCUUUAAAACUGUAUAGAACCUCUGAAAGAAGUCUUUUCAAAAUAUGUUCAACCCUGUAUACCACCUAUUCCCCAUGUGGAAUUAAAAAGCGUCUAAAAGAAACAAGUGAUGAGUGUGUUUUAGUUUCUUAUUGACAAUAUAUGUUUGUUGAAUUUGGAGGUAGACUUUUACAACACAUUGUCAUUAUUUCUAUGGGAAUGAAAUGUGCGCCUCUCCUUGCCGAUCUCUUCUUAUUGUCAUAUGAAUUGGAGUUCCUUCAGACACUUGAUAUAUAUACAUAUAUUGAUGAUUUUCUUUUCAUUAACAAUCCAAACUUUUCUGAUUAGGUUCCAUUAAUAUAUUCUCCAAAUUUAGGAACCUUAAGAAACAACAGACACAACUCCCUCUGCCUAAUUUUUAUACUUAUACCUUGAAUUUGACAUACACAGUCAUCUCAUUACCAGAUUCUAGAACAAACAGCACGAUUUUGAUAAGAAGUUAUCAAUUUCCCCACCUGCGUAGCAAUAUACCAACUUCACCUGCAUAAGGACUAUACAUUUUCCAACUUAUUCGGUAUUCUAGAUUUUGCAGCUCCUACUAAGACGUCUCCAGUGUCUGAGUAGAAAAGUGAUGAACCAGGAGGUAUCUCACAGAACAUCUUGUCCCUUUGUGAAGAAGUUAAUCGGAAGGGUACCAAGACUUUGUUGAUGAAACGUUCGUAUCAUCUUCACAACUAAUACACGAUGGUCUUGAAGUAUAAAGUCUGCGUACUGACGUUGUUUAUAAUCUUAAUAAGGUGUAAUCGUAUUUUUUAUUUGUCUUUAUUAAUAUUACGUUGACUGUGUAGUCCGUUUUUGGUAAAAAUCUGCACUUAUAAUAUAGUCUAGACAUUUGUUUAGGAGCCAGUUGAAGGACGCCUCCGGGUGCGGGAGUUUCGCGCUGUAUUUAAGACCUAUUGGUGACCUUCUGCUGUUGUCUGUUCUAUGGUUGGGUUGUUGUCUCUUUGACACAUUCCCCAUUUCCAUUCUCAAUUGUAUUAUGCAUCCCGUCAUUGUGUUAUUGUUGUAUAUUUUAUGUCUACUUAUAUUUCAUUUUUGAUGAUGUGCUGUGUCUAUAUGACUUUUGGGGUUUCUUUGAUACAUAUGUUUUGGCUCAAUACUUAUAUGGUGUGUCUUUGCUCUUUUGUAUAUUAACAAUAAACAUAUAGACAAGCGGAGACAAGAAUUUUGUUCAUACUUGGAACGACAAAAUUAUUUUGUAUCUACCUGUGUGACGUUUAAAUGCUGAACUACUGAUAUACGUCUAGCGCACUUAUCUACCUAAUAGUUAAUGUCAACCUAAAAGUGUGCCUGUAAGAGUAAGGAUUCAAGUCCCAGUACUUAACAUUGUAUUAUAUAAAAGCAAUAAAUGAGGUUGUUAAAUUUGAUAUGUGACUUUUUGUUGCGUAUUUGUUUGUGUUUAAAGAGAUUAAGUCUAUAACACAAUGUUGACUGCUGUUCCUCUGUUUUUGAAAUUUUUAUGUCUGUUGCUUUUGUUCACGUAGCGUUGUGGUUAUAUUGAAAUUUGAUGCGACUGUCAUACAAGUUAUAGGUUUAGCUAGCUAUAAAACCAGGUUCCAUCUACAUUUUCUACAUGCCUGUUCUAAGUCAGAAAUUUGACAGUUGUUAUCCAUUCGUUUUAAUGUGUUUGAUGUUUUUGAGCUUUUGAAUUUGCCAUUUGAUUAGGGACUUUCCGUUUUGGAUUUUCCUCGGAGUUCAGUAUUUUUGUGAUUUUACUUUUAACCUUAUACUUUAUGUAGCCCUUUUUAAUUUUUUUUAAAUUGAUAACAGUCUUGUACAGACGAAACCCUCGUCUCACAUAAACACAUUUUAAUCCGGUAUCUAUGAUUAGGUUAUGUAAUAUCACUGGAUUAAAAGUUAGUAUGUGUUCUCAUUAAUUAUCCUUCAUAUGGUCAUCAUCAUCAAAUUAACUGUUUACAAAUCAUUUAAUUUUUUUAAAGAUAUAAAACGGGAAUUUGUAUUUAUCAUUAAUUGUAAUAAUUAUGCAAUUUGUCUACAUGAUGUAUUCUUGUCUAGAAAUGAAAGUGUACGAUAAUUAAAUCAAGAUAAACAUCAUGUUUUUUGUAGAUCGUUGGUAUUAAUAGAAAACAACGCCACAGU
rnacentral:lncRNA from 1 species